rnacentral:sRNA from 1 species
CUCAAGUGAUCCACCCGCCUUGGCCUCCCAAAGUGCUGGGAUUACAGGCGUGACCCACUGCGCCCAGCCCAGAAAUAAUAUCUUUAAGGAAACCUAAUUCCAAAUGCAGUAGAGGGAAAAGUAUUCUCCAAAAAGAAAGAUAUGAGUGCCAGUGUCAUCCAGUUAGAGGCUAAAAGGCUUUCCUCCAUAUGCGAUGCUCUAAUGACUGAUUCAGAUGUCCUCUGUGUGUACCUGUGGAAGGUGGGAAGCACUCAGAGGAACUGGCCUCCAAGAGUUUUCGGAAAGUUUUAACAGUGUAUGCCAGGGAACACACAUUCUCUUUCGAGAAUUCAGCUUCGUCCAAGCCACCCCCCACAAUAGGGUAUCAUUUUUACGGGCCUUCUGGAGAUGCUUCCGAACUGUGGGCAAAAAUGGCGAUUUGCUGACCAUGAAAGAAUAUCACUGUUUGCUGCAAUUACUGUGUCCUGAUUUCCCGCUGGAGCUCACUCAGAAAGCAGCCAGGAUUGUGCUCAUGGACGAUGCCAUGGACUGCUUGAUGUCUUUUUCAGAUUUCCUCUUUGCCUUCCAGAUCCAGUUUUACUACUCAGAAUUCCUGGACAGUGUGGCUGCCAUCUAUGAGGACCUGCUGUCAGGCAAGAACCCCAACACAGUGAUUGUGCCGACGUCGUCCAGUGGGCAGCACCGCCAACGACCUGCCUUGGGCGAGGCCGGCAUGCUGGAGGGCGUGGAGGCGUCGCUGUUCUACCAGUGUCUGGAAAACCUGUGUGAUCGGCACAAGUACAGCUGCCCACCCCCAGCACUUGUCAAAGAGGCCCUCAGCAAUGUUCAGAGACUGACCUUCUAUGGAUUCCUCAUGGCUCUCUCAAAGCACCAUGGAAUCAACCAAGCCCUCG